GGUACAUGUUAUGUUAAUUUUUAUUUAUUUAUUUAUUUGUGUAUUGUGACUUAAUUUCACAGAGCAAUUCGUUGAGAGUAGACGGGGAAAAUAUUUAUGUCAGACAUAGCAAUUUAAUGUUGGAGGACCUGGAUAAGACUCAGGACGACUUACUGAAACACCAGGCUAGCAUUAGUGAGCUCAAGCGCAAUUUCAUGGAAUCCACACCUGAACCACGCCCCAAUGAGUGGGAAAAGCGGCGUAUCACACCUCUGUCCCUACAGACACAAGGGAAAAAAGGAGACCACAUUUUCCAAGUGAAAACCCUGCCUGGGAAGGAGAAGCAAUGGACUGCAAUGCCAUCAAUUGCUGGAACAAAACCAGAGGAAACUGAUAAGGUGGCUGCCCUAAAAUCUACUGCCUUUCUGCUAUAUCUGCUAUGGGCUAGCUUUGGCACUUCCUUCUUUUCCUUCCCCUCCGACCCCCAUUACCACUACUGCAAAGAGAAGUUUGAGUUUCAAACCGAGAUCUGUAUAUAUGAAUGCCCGCAACAUUCUGCUUAAGCACUAAACUGAAUAUGAAAUUGAGUGGUUCCAGUUUGAAAUGAACAAUUUCUUUCCACUGGAAAAUUACUGUAUUUUAUGUGAUUUGGAUGGCAGCAAAACAUGCAUUUCCAUUCCAGGUGGAAAUAAUUGCUUGCUGUUUGCAGUUAUGUAACACUUUACACAAUAACUUUUAUUUCGUGUAUUUACUAUGUAAUCAUUUCUCAAAUCACUAAUGCUAGAAAUGCAGUCACAUUCUGAGUAUCUCCAUGCUUCAGUACUUUCUGUUAAUCCAGGAAAAGGGAGAAUUUUUCUUCUCUCCUAAGCUGAUUAACAUCUAUGCAGUGAAAAGCGCUAUAUAAUAAGUGGGACUGCUAGCAGUAUGAUAGUGAUGAUGGAGGUGGUAAUUGAGAUGUUGGCUUUUUUACAUUACUUUUGGACUGUUUUCCACCACCUAGGAAAUGGGAUGAAAACAGAUUGUAAAGCUGUCAGUCCUACUUAAGUAACACAUAUAAAUACCAGGAUUGGGAUAAAGCAUAUUUUCAUCCCAAAUUAUUUGUUGAUGUUAGUAGUUAGAAUUCAAGUUGUUACUUCUAAAUUUAAACUUCCUACUGUUAGUACACAGUCUUAUUCCUGGAGGAUAUGUUUUCCUGCCUAUCUUUUAGGAUAGUUAGAUAGUAGUUGAGAAUAAAGCAAGGAUAUCACUGCUAAUAUUCUUUCUUCCUUCUUUUGCAAAAUAAUUGCAUUUCCUGUGUGUAAGAAAUGUUGCAUUGGAUGUGUCUCAUUUGUAUCCCUGUACUCACACAAAUGCACAGCAUGUGACUUAAUUAGAAUAGAAAUUGUGGUGCAAUAUGUAUGUCACAAAAAAAAAAAGGGACUAUCAUGUUAAGGUUAUCCAGAAUCAUUACUCUGGUUGGUUUUUUUAAAACCUCUUUUGCUUCCAAACAGUGUCAGUGUAUGUGCGUAUGUGCCAGAAGAUUGUUUGCCAGGAAAUUAGGCAUCUUCAGAGACUGAUGCAUUGUUGUAAAUACAGUAAUUGGUUCAAGAGUGCCAGUUCUAUCCAUGCAUCUGGUUACUUGUACCAAAUGCCUCUUCAGGGAGCAAGGGUUACAUUGUGAAGCAAAUUGUUGUAUUGGAGUUUUCUUUUUAAAAGAUUAAAAGACCAAAAAUUGUGAACAUGGUUUGCCUUUUUAUCUAACGUUCAUUGGAUACAGUGAAUAAGAGAAAGAAAGUGAUGGUGAGGAAUAUAUUGCCCUGAUGAAUAUCAAACAUUUUAUGAAGGUAGACGUAAUCAACUUGCAUUUUCUUAAAAUUUUCUUGGACACCUUUGGAAUAUAAUUCAAAUCUUAGUGUAGGGGGAAAAAAAGUUCUUUUUCCUUUUCUGUUCUUCUGCAUGCCAAAUGUACAGCACUGUAUGCAUGGUAGCAUGGUGUAACCUAAGUGUUCAGAUUCUGUGUUGCCAGUGCACAGUAAGUCCACUCAAACAGCAGUUAUCUGCAUGGCUUUUUGACUUUCCUCUGGCAUGUGCUUCUGCUCUGUCUAUUACCUGGCAAAGCGUAUGAUAUGUCCACGUUAGGUAUCUGUUACGCUAUUGGCUUUUUAUUUUAACUGUUUAUACUUGUAAUGUAAUGUAAGAGCUUAUGAAAGUAAAGCUGAAAUAAAGAACUUUGCUUUUUCAGAAGCUUGUACGCACAAGAAUUUUAAAAGCUUGUUUUACCAUGUGGCUUCAUAGUACUACCAAAAACAGAUCAGGCUAUAAGCAACUUAGGCUUUAAACCUUGUAAGCUUCUAUGUACAUUUGACUAAACAGGUUUUACAGUUUUUGAAAACAGAUUCUUUAAUAAAUGCAAAUUUCUCAUUUUAAGUAUUUGAAAACAGCCUUUAUGAGUAAAUUCUUUUUAGCUUUGUGGGAAUGUAUUGUUUGAAGCAAAUGUAUGUGGCUGCCUGAAGCUAUGAAACAGAUAGAAAUUACACAGUGUUCAGAAUAGACUUUUAAAAGGGAAAAAUCCCAAUAGUAAUAGUAGUAGUUCAAGCAAACUAUUUUGUUAGGAAAUCCAUGGAAAUAUUUAAUGCUUUUAAUUUUUACAGUGUGAAGUAAAGAGCCGAAGUAAAUGCUUGAUGGGCACAGAGCAUUAGAUCGCUGCUGAGCACUUGUGAUUACGGCAACGUUCUGUCGCGCUCCUCUUUCUCGCCUCCCUGAUGCACACGAGGUGUCUGUCCCCUGAGCUCGUACAGAACGCUCCGGAUCAAACGCUUGUCUUCGUCGUGUUUUCUCUCUUGCAGACCCUUUCCUUUGUAGGCUGCUGUCGCUUUGUCCGUCGCCGUCUAAUUCUUUCCUUUCCCUUCUCUAACUCGUCUAGAGCCUAGAAGAAGAGAUAGCGUCCAUUUUAUUUAGCCAAGAGCGCUUUGGCGCCGGCCCGGACCGGCCCUUCGCUGC